rnacentral:rRNA from 1 species
GACGAACGCUGGCGGCGUGCCUAAUACAUGCAAGUCGAACGCAGUGGGGACGGGUGAGUAACACGUGGGUAACCUCCCAUCAGAGGGGAUAACACUUGGAAACAGGUGCUAAACCGCUACUUUUUGAUCGACCCGCGGGGCAUUAGCUAGUUGGUGGGGUAACGGCUCACCAAGGCCACGAUGCAUAGCCGGCCGGAGAGGAUGAUCGGCCACACUGGGACUGAGACACGGCCCAGACUCCUACGGGAGGCAGCAGUAGGGAAUCUUCGGCAAUGGGCGAAAGUCUGACCGAGCAACGCCGCGUGAGUGAAGAAGGUUUUCGGAUCGUAAAGCACUGUUGUUAGGGAAGCGGUAACUAAAGAGAAAGCCACGGCUAACUACGUGCCAGCAGCCGCGGUAAUAC